AGGAAAUGCCAACACCUUGUGUUCCGGUUAUCUGUAGACACAUGUUUCCUGAAAGGAAAAUGACUCAGUGAAUAAAUAAGGUGCUGUGAACACACAGAAUCCUAGAGAUUCAAAACAAUCCUCAAAAAUCAGAACAUGGGUGCUGUUCAUCUGCAAGAGAUACUCACUAUGUUGGCAGCUUGGAAAGACUCCCUGAAGCACAGUGAUGGAGCUCAGUGGUAUGAAAGAACCUCCUACUGCAUUUAUACCAAGAACAAACAUUGCUGGCAUAAUGGUGAAUGGACUUCAAGGUGUUCAGAGAACACUCACUAAGCUUUGUAGUCUUCUUAUGUUUCUUUGUUUUUCUUGUUCAUCAGAGUUGAUGAACCCCAUAAAAGAAAUUCAAUAUAUC
ensembl:lincRNA 4930511O05Rik RIKEN cDNA 4930511O05 gene